rnacentral:lncRNA from 1 species
UGGGUUGAUGACUUUAUCAAUUCUUCUUUAUACUAAUUUAAAUCGAAGUUGUAACUAUAGUUUAGUUGACAAAAAAAAACUGAAAUAUGUAAAAUUUAUAUUCUAGGAUCUAUUAGGAUUUAGGAAGUAUGGUACAUACUAAAAGUCAUUUAAAAUAAUUAAUAGCAUUUCAUUUCGUUAAUCGUAUAGUUAACUACCUCAUGCAGGUCGUGGACCAAAAAACAAGUAUAUUAACUUUUUUUUGUUAUCUUCUAUUGGUGAGGCAACCAUUCUGAACCGAAGAUAAAUGAAGAAAUACAAAACCAAAAGGGA